GUAGGAAGUAGUGACAGACUUACGUGUGUAAGAAAGCAGCAUGGCUGCGCUCAUUGGGUUUCUUAAUCCAAUGCAAUCUUACCUGAAAACCCCUCAGAAGGCAAUGACUGGCUUUAUCCGGCUGCAGGUUGACAGACCAGAAAAUUGACCUCGUCCACAUUUUAGUUUUGAUGGACCGGAGCAGCUGGACCCAGGCGGAUCCGGACCAUCCGGAGCUGAGCGCAACGCUACUGACCGAGUGGGAUUCUGGGGUUACGGCCUCUUCUUCCUGAACCUCGCCCCUCCUCCUUUUGUGUAUGUGUAUCACUGUCUUGAUUGCAGGAUUGGACAGAUGGGUGAGCCUGGGACCACUUGCCAGUGAUCAUCGUCAGCAGCCUACUUAAACUGGUCCUUGGCUUCACAUCAUCGCCUUAUAAACAACUCUACUCCUCGAAUCCUGCCUUGACAGCUCACCUGCUCACUCACCAAGUGCCCGCCUGAUCAUUUGGACACAGCUUGCUUUCGUAUUAUGCAGUAAACUAUUGUUACCACUACCACCUUGCCUGCCUUCUCUGCACUUUGGUCCUCUGCUUACUCAGAACCAUAACAAUACGUAAGAAAUAAAGUCAU